rnacentral:tRNA from 1 species
GGGCCCGUAGCACAGUAUGGAUAGCGCGGCAGCCUUCUAAGCUGCAGGUCGUGGGUUCAAAUCCCACCGGGCCCG